AUUGAACGCUGGCGGCAGGCCUAACACAUGCAAGUCGAACGAGUGGCGCACGGGUGAGUAAUGUCUGGGAAACUGCCCGAUGGAGAGGGAUAACACCUGGAGACGGUAGCGAAUACCGCAUACCAUCGGAUGUGCCCAGAUGGGAUUAGCUAGUAGGUGGGGUAACGGCUCACCAAGGCGACGAUCCCUAGCUGGUCUGAGAGGAUGACCAGCCACACUGGAACGGAGACACGGUCCAGACUCCUACGGGAGGCAGCAGUGGGGAAUAUUGCACAAUGGGCGCAAGCCUGAUGCAGCCAUGCCGCGUGUAUGAAGAAGGCCUUCGGGUUGUAAAGUACUUUCAGCGGGGAGGCGUUACUCGCAGAAGAAGCACCGGCUAACUCCGUGCCAGCAGCCGCGGUAAUAC
rnacentral:rRNA from 1 species